AGAUUGAACGCUGGCGGCAUGCCUUACACAUGCAAGUCGAACGGUAACGCGGGGCAACCUGGCGACGAGUGGCGAACGGGUGAGUAAUGCAUCGGAACGUGCCCAGUAGUGGGGGAUAGCCCGGCGAAAGCCGGAUUAAUACCGCAUACGACCUAUGGGUGAAAGCGGGGGACCGUAAGGCCUCGCGCUAUUGGAGCGGCCGAUGUCAGAUUAGGUAGUUGGUGGGGUAAAAGCCUACCAAGCCGACGAUCUGUAGCUGGUCUGAGAGGACGACCAGCCACACUGGGACUGAGACACGGCCCAGACUCCUACGGGAGGCAGCAGGUGGGGAAUUUUGGACAAGUGGGCGCGAAGCCUGAUCCAGCCAUGCCGCGUGGCGGGAAGAACGGCCGUUCGGGUUCGUAAACCGUCGUUUUGUCGAGGAACGAACGCGUCCGGCCAACGUACCCGUAGGGUAAGUCGGACGGUACCGUAGAAGAAGUAAG
rnacentral:rRNA from 1 species